GACGAACGCUGGCGGCGUGCCUAAUACAUGCAAGUAGAACGCUGAAGGAGGAGCUUGCUUCUCCGGAUGAGUUGCGAACGGGUGAGUAACGCGUAGGUAACCUGCCUGGUAGCGGGGGAUAACUAUUGGAAACGAUAGCUAAUACCGCAUAACAGUAGAUAUUGCAUGAUAUCUGCUUGAAAGGUGCAAUUGCAUCACUACCAGAUGGACCUGCGUUGUAUUAGCUAGUUGGUGAGGUAACGGCUCACCAAGGCGACGAUACAUAGCCGACCUGAGAGGGUGAUCGGCCACACUGGGACUGAGAUACGGCCCAGACUCCUACGGGAGGCAGCAGUAGGGAAUCUUCGGCAAUGGACGGAAGUCUGACCGAGCAACGCCGCGUGAGUGAAGAAGGUUUUCGGAUCGUAAAGCUCUGUUGUAAGAGAAGAACGAGUGUGAGAGUGGAAAGUUCACACUGUGACGGUAUCUUACCAGAAAGGGACGGCUAACUACGUG
rnacentral:rRNA from 1 species